GAAGAUUUCAUAUUCUAAAAAAAGUACUUGUUGUGCUUAGGAAGAAAUGUCCUUAUAUUGCAUUUUUUGUCAGAAUUGAGAAUUAAGACUUGAAUUUUGAUGCAGAAAAGACUUCACAAACUAUGCAGAUGUGUGUUUUAGAGAGUUCGGGGAUAGAGUCAAGUAUUGGACUACUGUGAACGAGCCCAAUAUCUUCGCUGUAGGUAGUUAUGAUCAAGGAAUCUCCCCACCUCAGCGAUGUUCUCCACCAUUUUGCCUUAUAGAGAGCACCAAGGGUAACUCAACAUUUGAACCGUACUUGGUAGUUCAUCAUAUUUUGCUAGCGCAUUCUUCAGCUGUGAGAUUGUAUAGAAGAAAGUACAGGGUAUAUCGCCUAAUUUUUUUUCAUACUGUGUACUUCUCUUUGUACUUUUUGUUUUGUUUUGUUACUGUUACACUACUCUCUAGAGACUUGUUACAUUGCAGGAGGAACAAAAUGGAUUUGUUGGUAUCUCACUCUAUACAUUUGGGUCAGUUCCACAAACAAAUACAGAGAAAGACAGGGCAGCAUGUCAACGACUUCGCGAUUUUUAUUUGGGUUGGUGAGUUACCGACUCUAAAAUUGGUUAUAAUAUUUUAUCUUCUUCUUCUUACUGCCUAUUUUAUUUAAGGAUUAUGGAACCCUUAUUGCAUGGAGACUAUCCCUAUUCCAUGAAGGCAAAUGCGGGCACGAGAAUUCCUGCCUUCACAAGUCGCGAAUCCAAACAAGUUAAGGGUUCCUAUGACUUUGUUGGCAUAAUUCACUACAUGAAAUUUAAUGUCACAGACAAUUCUGAUGUGCUGAACACAGAACUUAGAGAUUUCAGUGCAGACGCGGCUGCAAAGCUACUUGGUAUGUGUUGUGUUUAAUCAUGGGAUUUUAAAGCUUAGAGCUAUAUAAGCUUGCUGUACUAAUUGCAUUUUUUUUCAUAUGAUUCUGUUGUUUUCAACUAGUUGAACUCUUUACAUCAUUUAGUAUCUGACUCCCCUUUUCAUCACUUGUUGAAUAACCAUGUGCAUCACUUGUUGAAUAAUUGGUGGAGUAAAAUGAACUAUUUCUUUGUUUUCUGUGGUUUUGCAGGUUUAGAGGAAGUACUUGGAGAGAAUGAGGUAACGGUUAAAAAACUAAUUAAAAUUAUCAUCUUAAUUGAUUUGUUCAAUCACAGAUUACUUCACAGUAAAAUUAUCUGGUUUGAUUUGGCUCAGUACCCAUUCACACCAUGGGCUUUAGGACAAGUACUGGACACAUUCAAGACCCUUUAUGGCAAUCCACCUAUAUUCAUUCAUGAAAAUGGUAUGCUUACCUCUCGUUCAAGAUUACAUUGAUGGCAAUGAAUCUCUUAUAGGAAAUCGUCAUUGGAUGCUGAUUGAGGUUGAAUAAUAAGUUGCGGCGCUAAGGUUUUCCUGUCAUAGACGGCCAAAUAACAUUUUGACUAGGUUAUUGCAUAUUAUGGUUUUCAUGUAUUUUCCAUCCUCAAUUGUAUGGAAUUGUAAACUUAAGCAUCAAGGGAUUUGACAAUGAUUUGGUGGACCAUUCAUAACGCUUGUAAUUAUCGUUUUUAAACAAAUGUUGCAUAAGAUGAGUUCCAAUUGUUUGAAUUGUUAGGCCAACGGACACUAAGCAAUGCAUCACUCCAUGAUGAAUCAAGGUUGAAAUACUUGCAUGGAUACAUUGGUGCCGUGCUUGAUUCCUUAAGGUAUGUGAUUGCUACUCCAUACUAUUAUAUUUUGAAAAAUUAGAUUUAGAAAAUGUCUUUGAAAGAAGUUACUUAUCCAAUAAAUGAAAACAGUCCUAAACACGCAACAUUCAUAAAAGCAAUCACACCUGAAAUAAACACCUAUGCUUUGAUAUGGUAUGUGAUCUUCCGUCUCAUUUUUUUUAUCCUUCAGAAAUGGAUCAAAUAUGAAGGGAUAUUUCGUGUGGUCUUUCAUGGAUGCAUUCGAGUUGUUGGAUGGAUAUGAAUCGAUCUAUGGGCUGUACUAUGUCGAUAGGAAUGAUCCAGAGUUGAGAAGAUACCCAAAGCUAUCCGCAAAAUGGUACAGCCAAUUUUUGAAGGGUACAAGAUCCUCUCUAGUUGGUGCAAUUGAACUCAAUAACGAUUCAUCACUUGUUUCGGUUGGACAUUUACUUCAGUAGUGGGUUCUAUAAUUUGUAUGCAUUAAAGUGUUGUUACAUUUGGUGUUUCUGUUGAGAGACUUUCAGUUUUGUCGGUUAGCUGGUUAGUGGUUUAGAUGUUUAACAAAUCUGUUUGCAUGAUCAUUAUUUAGUUGAUCUAUCUAAAACCACUAUUCCAUCUGUGUAUGCAAUCAUCAUAAAGUGAGUGAUCUCACAUUAACAAUGGUAUCUAGUUCUUUGAUUUGGGACACGUGCAUACGAGAAUGUGAGGUUGUUUGCGAAAUCUGAGGUAGUCAUGACUAACUCUAAUGGUUCUUCGUUGGCCAACCUGUCUUUUCUUUAUGGCAAAAACUUAUAAUAGAGAAGUGGUUCCAGAUGCAAGUCAUCUUUGGUUUCUGGGAUGUGUUUGAAAUUUUGCAAGGCUCUCUUAUUGAUUCAUCUAUGUGUGAACUAUACGAAUUUUAGAAGAUAGCUGCAAAGGAUGCCUGAGACAUGUUAAAAAAUUCUUAUGUUGUUGCAAAGGUUGCCAAAGUAAGACUAUAGUUCAUGGACAAUAAAUAUUAACCAGAACUGUACGUCUUGUUUUGCUCAAAAACCACAAAGGAGCUGAUCAGCAGACAAAUGUGGCUUGCCUCUCUUAAAUUUCCUUGUGUUUUAUUAGAACUAAGAGAGAGAUUAGCACCAAAACGUGUCUCACUCUAAAUAUGUAUUUGCUUAUAUUUCAGGCUGGAUAGAGUAUUAUCUUUUCCAUUCAAUUUGUUUUAUUCAGCCAUUAACAAAAUUAUUUUUCAAACAAAAUAAACAAGAGAAAGCUAUUGCCAUUUUCAUAAAGUAUAUCAAGGCAGAAACAGUAAUUUUUCAGGAAAANNNNNNNNNNNNNNNNNNNNNNNNNNNNNNNNNNNNNNNNNNNNNNNNNNNNNNNNNNNNNNNNNNNNNNNNNNNNNNNNNNNNNNNNNNNNNNNNNNNNAAGCUUGCUGUACUAAUUGCAUUUUUUUUCAUAUGAUUCUGUUGUUUUCAACUAGUUGAACUCUUUACAUCAUUUAGUAUCUGACUCCCCUUUUCAUCACUUGUUGAAUAACCAUGUGCAUCACUUGUUGAAUAAUUGGUGGAGUAAAAUGAACUAUUUCUUUGUUUUCUGUGGUUUUGCAGGUUUAGAGGAAGUACUUGGAGAGAAUGAGGUAACGGUUAAAAAACUAAUUAAAAUUAUCAUCUUAAUUGAUUUGUUCAAUCACAGAUUACUUCACAGUAAAAUUAUCUGGUUUGAUUUGGCUCAGUACCCAUUCACACCAUGGGCUUUAGGACAAGUACUGGACACAUUCAAGACCCUUUAUGGCAAUCCACCUAUAUUCAUUCAUGAAAAUGGUAUGCUUACCUCUCGUUCAAGAUUAAAUUGAUUGCAAUGAAUCUCUUUUAGGAAAUCGUCAUUGGAUGCUGAUUGAGGUUGAAUAAUAAGUUGCGGCGCUAAGGUUUUCCUGUCAUAGACGGCCAAAUAACAUUUUGACUAGGUUAUUGCAUAUUAUGGUUUUCAUGUAUUUUCCAUCCUCAAUUGUAUGGAAUUGUAAACUUAAGCAUCAAGGGAUUUGACAAUGAUUUGGUGGACCAUUCAUAACGCUUGUAAUUAUCGUUUUUAAACAAAUGUUGCAUAAGAUGAGUUCCAAUUGUUUGAAUUGUUAGGCCAACGGACACUAAGCAAUGCAUCACUCCAUGAUGAAUCAAGGUUGAAAUACUUGCAUGGAUACAUUGGUGCCGUGCUUGAUUCCUUAAGGUAUGUGAUUGCUACUCCAUACUAUUAUAUUUUGAAAAAUUAGAUUUAGAAAAUGUCUUUGAAAGAAGUUACUUAUCCAAUAAAUGAAAACAGUCCUAAACACGCAACAUUCAUAAAAGCAAUCACACCUGAAAUAAACACCUAUGCUUUGAUAUGGUAUGUGAUCUUCCGUCUCAUUUUUUUUAUCCUUCAGAAAUGGAUCAAAUAUGAAGGGAUAUUUCGUGUGGUCUUUCAUGGAUGCAUUCGAGUUGUUGGAUGGAUAUGAAUCGAUCUAUGGGCUGUACUAUGUCGAUAGGAAUGAUCCAGAGUUGAGAAGAUACCCAAAGCUAUCUGCAAAAUGGUACGCCCAAUUUUUGAAGGGUACAAGAUCCUCCCUAGUUGGUGCAAUUGAACUCAAUAACGAUUCAUCACUUGUUUCGGUUGGACAUUUACUUCAGUAGUGGGUUCUAUAAUUUGUAUGCAUUAAAGUGUUGUUACAUUUGGUGUUUCUGUUGAGAGACUUUCAGUUUUGUCGGUUAGCUGGUUAGUGGUUUAGAUGUUUAAGAAAUCUGUUUGCAUAUUAUUUAGUUAAUCUAUCUAAAAUCACUAUUCCAUCGACCAUCUGUGUAUGCAAUCAUCAUAAAGUGAGUGAUCUCACAUUAACAAUGGUAUCUAGUUCUUUGAUUUGGGACACGUGCAUACGAGAAUGUGAGGUUGUUUGCGAAAUCUGAGGUAGUCAUGACUAACUCUAAUGGUUCUUCGUUGGCCAACCUGUCUUUUCUUUAUGGCAAAAACUUAUAAUAGAGAAGUGGUUCCAGAUGCAAGUCAUCUUUGGUUUCUGGGAUGUGUUUGAAAUUUUGCAAGGCUCUCUUAUUGAUCCAUCUAUGUGUGAACUAUACGAAUUUUAGAAGAUAGCUGCAAAGGAUGCCUGAGACAUGUUAAAAAAUUCUUAUGUUGUUGCAAAGGUUGCCAAAGUAAGACUAUAGUUCAUGGACAAAAAAUAUUAACCAGAACUGUACGUCUUGUUUUGCUCAAAAACCACAAAGGAGCUGAUCAGCAGACAAAUGUGGCUUGCCUCUCUUAAAUUUCCUUGUGUUUUAUUAGAACUAAGAGAGAGAUUAGCACCAAAACGUGUCUCACUCUAAAUAUGUAUUUGCUUAUAUUUCAGGCUGGAUAGAGUAUUAUCUUUUCCAUUCAAUUUGUUUUAUUCAGCCAUUAACAAAAUUAUUUUUCAAACAAAAUAAACAAGAGAAAGCUAUUGCCAUUUUCAUAAAGUAUAUCAAGGCAGAAACAGUAAUUUUUCAGGAAAAAUAGUUAUUAGAGACACAUUAAUCUAAGAAUUUUCAUAUACAGAAUAAAAUAAGGCCCCCGGGUAGGAGGCAACAACAAUCCACACAAUUGCAUAUUUUCUAUCAUAAACUACAAACCAAACAUGCCAUAGGAUAAACUAAGUCACAAACUUUCUGAGAACAUUGCUAUUUCACUUCUGCUGAAAGGAUUAUAUAUUUAUUCUUGCAGGAUAUGCCAAUAUAGAUCAGUGCUUGGUUUUUGGCUUCUUCACAAUCAUCACAGUGCAAUGAGCAUGAUGAGCACAGUAGUCACUCACACUACCUAAAACCGCCCUGCAAAUUAAAAGUGUCGAGUAUAGUGAGUGAAUUAGGAAAUUAUGAAAUGAAGUGUUUGCUUCAAGCAACAAUGUAUAUACAUGUUCUCCCCCAGUAUAAAUAAAAUGAAAAGUCAAAUAAACUUAGAAAGGAGAAACCACAUUGUAUUGAACACAUUUUGAGUAAUGAAAUGCAAUAAGUUUAUUCCUCUCAAAAAAUAUAAACUUAGAAAGCAAAAGGAAGGUUUGAUUGUUGAUUAAAAUAGAAAAGAUCAUAGAGACUUUAUAAUCGGUAAGUUGUAGAAAACUAUGUGAAUCAUACAAAAAACCACUGCUGCCUAUCUUCUACAGGUUAAAAAGAUUUUAGUGGAUGGCAAAUUACAUUUUAUUCUUGUUUUUGGCCAUUUAAUUGUGUUUGUGAUCGUGGUGGCAUUCACUUAAGUUAAAAUGUUAGAACUAAAUGCAGCAUAUUCAUGGUAUAUCCCAAUCACAAUUACCUAUCACUCCAAACCAAGGAUGAUAAUCGUAACAACAAUGAAAUCAUACCUUUUUAUAGCCCCAUAACCGUGACUACCCACAACCAAGAUUGAAGCACGGUACUUUUCCACUGUAUCACAGAGAACAUUUCUAGCAUCACCUUCCACCACCUCUACUAUUACAUCAUUUACCUGAAGAAAAUUCAGUUAUCAGAUAGUUUUUCCACAUAUGACAUAAGUACUUAAACAUCAUAAUGUAUACGUUUUUCCUUAGGCUCGAAAGUAGAAAAAUAAAUUCACGAUGAUAUUAAUACACACGAGUUUUGUUGGCCCUAACUAAUAGGGAUAUGGAUAUGGAAACUCAAUAAUUUCACUCGAAAAGCAUAACAAUUAACAGACAUACAAAGAUGAUGGUAAGUUUGUUUAAACCAGUUGAAGCAAUUUAAGUGAAAUACAACACGAAAUUGAAACAUGAUAAAUCUUAACAUCACGAAGAAACAAUGAUAAAUUAAGGGUUUUUUCUAGAUUACCUAUGAAGAAUGGUGGGUAAUUUACCCACCAAUAAAAAUGAGCAAUUUGUUGGUGGGGUCAAGAUAGUUCAAUGGAUACCAACAUACAAGUGUGGGAGAUGGCCGCACGAGGCACCGACACACCCCCAAAACCAAACUGCUAGCUGACAAAAAACCACCAACAUACAAACAGCAACAACAGCAUUGCUGUUCCUGUCACCAAACAGCAGCUAAAAGUACCGCGCAGAGACCCCAACAGCACCAAAAUACAUAUUUUCUCUUUCAACUUUUUUCCAUUUUUGUAAGAGUGUCCAAAUUUUAUGUCUAAAGUCUCGUGAUCACACAAAAAGUUCUCCAGAUCUAGACACUAAAGAUGGGAAUUUUUUUUUUUCUGCCCUUAUUUAAUUCCAAAAAUACAAAAAUGCCCCACUUUUGAAAAAAAUUGCAUAAAUGCCCUACUUUUCAGAAUUUUCGGGUACCUUGCAACCCCCACUUGCGGGGUACCUUAAAAAAAAUUUAAAAAUUAAGUACAUUGCUACCCCCACUUGCGGGGUAUGAAUUUUUUUUUUUAUUUUUUAUUUUUUUAAAUAAAUAGAUUGCUACCCCCACUUGCGGGGUAUGCUUAAUUUUUUUAAAAUGUUUUUAAUACACCCCGCAAGCCCCACUUGCGGGUUAGUUUAUGUGAUUUUUUUUUUAAUUUUUUCUCGUAAUUAUUAAUAAUAAUAAUAAUAAUAAUAAUAUUAAUAAUAAUAAUAAUAUUAAUCACUAGACAUCCUAUAAACAAAAUAAAGACUAAAUUUCUACUGAUGUCUAAUAUUAAUGCAAUCUUUGCGGGAAUGACCAGGCAUCCUCCAAACACCGCAUCUUUCUCUCAGUUUCCACAUCGUCCAUCUCGGUCCUAAUGCGAGUAAUUGGUGGACGACCUUUCUUUGCCCUACGCAUUGACUUGUUGGGAACCACCUUCGGUCCUUCAUAAUUAGGCCAAUAUGUCUGGUGGUGAACCACGUCGAAGUGGAUGUUGUAUACGGCGUAUACACACUCAUUUGUGAAUUUGUUAUCGACAAAAGUCUUGUAGUCGUGACAAAAGCUAGAACAUGCGGCAAUGACAUGUGAGCAUGGUAGGUGUAACGCUCUAAACCGUCCACAGUCACACCAUUUAUUUUGCAGGUCCACUUUGUAUUCUCCCUUUGGCAAUCCUUCUUUAUGAUCGAUGGUUUCACGGACGGAAAAGGUAUAUCGAUCCCGGUCAAACUGAGUGACAUGAUGACUGUUGGAUUUAAUCACCUCAUUCCUGGCGCAUCCAACAACAACUACUUCUCCUAUAAUGACCCAAACCAAGCUGGACCGUCCAACACCAAUUACCCCCCCUACAGCAACCCACAAUACCCAAUGUACACCAACCAAAACUACAACCACCCACCAACACCAACAAACCUAUUAUCUCACUUUUCUCCGGCUUCGUUGAACUCUAGUGAUCAAUUUCUGGAUAUGGGAUGGCCAACAAGGGAACACGAUGUGUCAUUGUCAUUGGGUUAUGGUAGUCAAAUACAAUCAGCUGCAGAUAACAACGACGAAGACCAACAUGACCCUCAAGUAAAUCGCGGAAGAAAUCGUCGAAGACGAGGGUGUGGGACAGCCGGGCAUUUAUAAUAAUUGUAGAUAUCAUGAUAUUUAAUAUGUUUAUUAUUUUUUUUCCUUCUUUUUUUUAUUAUUUUUUUUUAUUUUAAAAAUAAAAAAAAAAAAAAACAAAAAACAAACCCGCAAGUGGGGCUUGCGGGGUAUUAAAAAAAUUUAAAAAAAAAUUAAAUACCCCGCAAGUUGGGGUAGCAAGUUAUUUAAUUUAAAAAAAAAAAAAAUAUAGGCCGCAAGUGGUAGUUAUUUAAUUUUAAAAAAAUAAAAAAUAAAAAUGUAGCCCGCAAGUCCCACUUGCGGGGGUAGUUAAUUUUUUAAAUUUUUUUAAGGUACCCCGCAAGUGGGGGUUGCAAGGUACCAGAAUUUCUGAAAAGUAGGGCAUUUAUGCAAUUUUUUUCAAAACUAGGGCAUUUUUGUAUUUUUGGAAUUAAAUAAGGGCAAAAAAAAAAAAAAAUUCCUAAAGAUGGAUUUACAUUAAUCACAAAUUUUUUGUUUGUUGAGAAAUUACAUCAAUCACAAUGAAUAUGGCAAAACCAUAAUACACAAAUAUCGGAUUUUGUGAAAAAAAAUUCAAUAAACAUAUUAACGCGUUGUGAUUUUGUCACAUUCAUUGUGGAGCGAUUUGUGGAAACUUUAAAAAAAAUGAAAGUGGGUCAAUUAUGUCAUUAACUCUCAUAGGGGUCAGAAGUGAAAUUAUUUUGGGAAACCGGGUCAAAAAAAAAUUCGAUAAUAGAAUAUGCUUAUUACUUAUUACUCCCUCCUUAAGUCUAUUUGGAAAAGAAAAUUGUCCUAAAUUAUACGUCGCUUAACAAUACCAAUGAAAUAUUAAUGUUAUUUUUUCUAUUAUAUCCUUAAUUAUUAAUUACUAUCUCUUCUUUCAAUUAUUUCAUUUAUCUUUUCCAUACCAUUUAUUAGGGAUAAUUUUGUAAAAUUUUAAUACGUGUGAAAUGGCCAAAACGUCGUGCAAUUUGGGACGGAGGAAAUAGUAUCUUUAUCAGAGCAAGAUUAGAAAAUGAGUCAGAAUCACCAAUUCGGUGUUGUCUUUUACUCACACACACUUCUAAAAAAUGGAACACGGAAAUGUUUGAGGAAUAUAGAGAAAGAAAAAAAAAACAUAAAACAUAGAAGAUGGAAGCAAAUACAUGUUUGACUCUUGUUUUCUUUUUGCUUCUAAACUUGGCUCUUGGGGUGUUGAGUACUGAUAAUUAUGGCAGACAUGAUUUCCCUGUUGACUUUGUUUUUGGGUCAGGUACCUCUGCAUAUCAGGUUCUCUUUUACUUUACCUCAAAAAGAAGUAACCAUGCAAUUUCAUUAUUGUAGAAUAAUUAAAUUAUGAUUAUAUUUUAUUGUUGUACUUGUGAUUAUGAUGAAUAGGUGGAAGGAGCUGCUAAUGAAGAUGGAAGAACUCCUAGCAUUUGGGAUACCUUUGCACAUGCUGGUUAGUCAAUUCAUUCUAUCAUCCAUCUUAUCAUUUUUGAGUCAUAGUUCAAAUCAAUUUUUUUUAGAGACUAUGGUAACUGUAAUAAUCAUUUUUAAAUAUUUUUACUUUAGAAAACGUGUUCAAUAAAAAAGUCAUGCUUUGAUGAGCCUUCACUCACUUUAAUCAAGUUAUUUGAUAAUUGGAUCACAACAAAAUUAUCAUUUUAAUUCCAACAUAUAAUCUAAAAUAAAUUUCUUGUAAUUGGAGCAAAGCCAAGCCCAAAAGUUUGUUAUCAAUUAUUUGCACUAUAAACCAACCUUUUUCUGAAGCGAAAAUCAAUGAGAAACUGGGAAUAUGUUAAGUAUUUACAAUUUAACUUUUCAGUUUUUACUUCUUCAUUUGCUUUGAGCAUUAUAAACCAAUUCUAACGACUAGCAUUUUUAUACAAAAAGGGUUUGCGCGUGGAGGAAAUGGAGAUGUAGCCUGCGACACGUACCACAAAUACAAGGUAAACAAGACACAAGGCUUCUAUCUUUCUAAUUUUGUCUAGUAAUGCAUUCUUUAUGAUUCAUCUUUUAAUGCAGGAAGAUGUGCAGCUCAUGGUUGAAACAGGUCUUGAAGCCUAUAGAUUUUCCAUUUCUUGGUCAAGAUUGAUACCAAGUAUUCCACUGAACUUAAACUUUAAUACAGAUCGAUGAAUGGUGAAAUUUGACGUUCUUUAAUUAUUUUUUCAGUGAAGACUAACUCCCUUCGAAAAUGUUUGUAUUUCUUCCCAGAUGGUAAAGGACCCGUCAACCCGAAGGGAUUGCAGUACUACAACAAUCUCAUCAAUGAACUCAUUAGAAAUGGUUAGAUACGAGCUUCUUCAUUUGCUGCAAGAUAAGACAUGCCUUAAUCAAGAUUUCAAAAACAGUAAGUGAAAUCAAUUCUGUUUCUUCAAGUGAUAUAAUACAAGUCUUUUCCAUUUGUAGGAAUCCAACCACAUGUCACACUACACAACUAUGAUCUCCCACAGGCACUUGAGGAUGAAUAUGAAGGAUGGCUUAGUCGUGAGGUCAUGUAUGUUCAUAUCUCCUAUAGCUGCACCAGUUUGCUGUCACAAUUAGUUCUUACAAUUCUUAGUGCAUGAAAUAAGGCACAAUACACCAUAAAUCUAGAGAGAAUAGAAAGGUCCAUAUACACCAAGUACUUGAUGCGUGAAAUAAGACUCUUUUAGCUUUUAUUGUUCUUGCCUCACUUGCUCAUAUGAUCAAGGCUUAAUAGCAGUUUUCGCCCCCUAACUUUCACGAAGUUGCGAUUUUGGCCCUCUAAAUAAAAAAACUACAAAACCGCCCCCUAAGUUCUGCAAUUGUAGCAGUUUUGGCCCCCCAAGGCCAAUUUUUGGUAAAAAAAAUAAAAAUAAAACACGUGGCACUUCACUUAGGGUGCCGCGUCAGCAUAGACCGAGUCAAAAUUGGCUUUGGGGGCCAAAACUGCCACAAAUGCAAAACUUAGGGGGCGGUUUUGUAGUUUUUUUCUUAGGGGGCUAAAACUGCUAUUAAGCCUGUGAUCAAUGGUCAAACGCAUUUUAAUGAUGUGAAGAUUUCGUAUUCUAAAAAAAGCACUUAUUGUGCUUAGGGAGAAAUGUCCUUAUACUGCAUUUUUUGACAGAAUUGAGAAUUAUGACUUGAAUUUUGAUGCAGAAAAGACUUCACAAACUAUGCAGAUGUGUGUUUUAGAGAGUUCGGGGAUAGAGUCAAGUAUUGGACUACUGUGAACGAGCCCAAUAUCUUCGCUGUAGGUAGUUAUGAUCAAGGAAUCACCCCACCUCAGCGAUGUUCUCCUCCAUUUUGCCUUAUAGAGAGCACCAAGGGUAACUCAACAUUUGAACCGUACUUGGUAGUUCAUCAUAUUUUGCUAGCGCAUUCUUCAGCUGUGAGAUUGUAUAGAAGAAAGUACAGGGUAUAUCGCCUAAUUUUUUUCAUAUUGUGUACUUCUCUUUGUGUUUUUUUGUUUGUUAUUGUUACUCUACUCUCUAGAGACUUGUUACAUUGCAGGAGG
rnacentral:lncRNA from 1 species